UUUGCUAAACCUAAUUUCAUUUUUCCGCCUCCAUCUCCCUCGUUUUUCGUUUUCCCUUCUCUUUCUGGUCCAACGUACUCUCAGAUGAGAUCGAAAAACCCCAAUCCCAGAAGACAUGUUCAUGAUUUUUGAUUUUCUUUGACCUUUAUCCCAGUAUUCUAUGGUUUUAUGUUUUUUUUUUUUUUAAAUUUCCUUGAUCUCGAAUGCUUUCUCUCUGUAUUCUAAGGUUUUUACAUCUGAACCAGAUACGAAAAUGUAAUUAUCAAGAAGAAGCUCCGUAAAAAUCUGAGACUAAGCAAACUUAUCCCUAGUUGGAUCCAUAUGAAACUGAUAACACCAUCAGGUAGUGAGAAAGAGAACAAGUACAACAAAGUUGCCGCCAUCAAUAACUUGCGAAAAGCACAUCAUCUGUUCGAUAAAAGGCCUAAUUCUCUGCAGCUAUUAGGCGAUGGUUCUUGUGGCUUCUUAUUAAGGGUCGAGAGAGAAAUUCACAUCCAAUUGCAAAACAGAAGAUCAGACACCAACAAACAGUAAUGAAAUAUACAUUUGGUUAUCACAUUUUCAGUUCUACUUGUUCAAAGAUUACUGUUGGAAUUGGGGGUUUUUUAUGUUGUUGUAGGGAAAUGAAGAAGGGAGUAUGGUGUAGUCUUUUAUUUAUCUAUUCUUGUUUAUCCACGGAUACUAAUUCAAAUAUCUUGGAUGUGUUAUCUUCAUGUUUUAGGCAAAAGAGAACAUUUCCCAUUUGAUUCAAGGUUCAGUGAAUGAAUAAGGCAGACAUCUUGAGCUUUGAAAGUGUUUUCUAGGUUACGAAUGAUUGGGAAUUUUUCUUACUACAAGGGAUUAUUUUGUUCCUAUGAUACUGAGAUAUGAAUACUUUGAUCAACAUUUCCUUU